GGGGCUGUGCCUGUGGGUUGCUCUGGCUGUUUGUUGGUGUUGAGUGGAAGGUUCUGGACACCAGGACACCUUUCAAGCAGUGUGAGGACUCCACUGAGGGCCUUUGUGGAUCCAGCAGGAAGCCACAGCCAGUGGUGGACACCAACAUCCACACUUGAUCGUGUCUGUCGGGCAAGCUCUUUUGCUCUCAGAGAGUGUUUUUGCUCUUCUGGCCAUUCGAUUGAAUUGGUGUCAGUUUCUACUUGUGCUCACUGGGCUUUCCAAGGGUGUUCUCCUUACUUGACACCACCUUUCCCAUUCUCUAUUUCCAAGCAGGAGCUCCCCUUGGCCUCCAUGUCUCGCUCUGGCCAGGCAGAUGUGGUGUGCCAACGGUACGUGGAGUCCAGACCCUGAGCAGAACAACAACUGAGGAGAGAGGCUGCCCUGGGUGAGACAGGAGAAGUGCCCCUUGAAGCGGGGGACGCUCCGCUGGCGCUGCCUCUCGCAUCCACCGGCAGCACAUUCCUUCUCUCUCCUUGGUGCCUGGCACUUUGCCAUCUCCCAGGGCUCACCAAGUCCAAAUAUUCCCUGAUGGAGUCCAUCUCCAGCUUGACCAGCACUCACCCGAUCUGUCCCCGCACCAGCUGGCUAAAGGCUCCCCAGCAUGGCUGGCUGUCGGUGCCUUCUGUCACUCCCAGUCAGCAUGGCUCAGUUCUUUGCCUUUUGGGUUCCAGAGUGUUUGCUACAGGUAUGGAGUGUUUCUCUUCUCUCUCUUCUUGUCUUCCAUGUAGCCCGUUGUUGCCUCGGUGGAGUUUCAGUGACCCAAAUGCAGACUGCUCUGUGUUGACCAAGUGUGAUGCCAAAAGAAGAGCUAGGCUUGAAAGCAGGCUGCUGGACGGGAGACUCCACCACCAGGAGCCGUUGUCAUUCCUGACCUCCCCGGGUUGCAGCAUUGGACGUGCCCUGAUCCUUGGGAAGGAGUUAGAGAGCUGUAUUUCGUUUUCAGAAGGUGGUCAUUACUUACCUUGUCUUGUGUCCAUCAGGUGGCAGUGGAGAGUUGUGACCCUCCCAAGCGGUGCAAGGGCUCUACUGAGGCUCUUGGUGGAUGCCGCAGGAACCCGCACGCACAGAUGGAUGCCAAGAUCUGCUCCUUCCUCUGUCUGGCAAGCUCUGCUGACCCCUGAGGUUGUUUCCAUACUUGCAGAGGUCCUACGGGCUUGGUGUAGGUUGUCGCUUGUGCUCACCUUGCUGUCACCGGGUGUUCUUCCUUUGUCCAUCAUAGGGGUCCCCCGUUCUGAUGGGAUCUCCGUGCCUUCUGUUGAUCCCAGAGUACUUCAAUUUGUUCUUUUAUUUUCAGGUUCUGUACCAUUUCAUGCUUUUGUGAUGUGUUUUUCUUCCUUUUGUUUUACAGGCUGGAAAUGUACACUUGGUUGGAUCUACGAUGACCCAAAUGCAAUCUAUUUAGGUUAGGCCAUGUGUGGUGGGAAAGGAAGAGGUAGGCUCCUAAGCAAAAUUCUGGUGAGGGCUGUGUUUCAUUUGGGGUUUUCUGGGAUGCCCGCUACUCCUCCCUACCCCAUUUUGUUCAUUACUGUGUGUGAAGGAUUCUUUUUUCCUUCUAGGAUUGGGGACACCAGCACCAGAUGCUGUUGCACUUCCUGACCUCCCUGGGUGACAGCGUUGGAAGUGCCUGCACGCUUGGAAAGGGCUAAGUGAUUCCUUCAUCAUUACCAGAAUGUAGUCUGUGUUCAACAGGUGAUGGUGGAGAACUGUGGCCUUCUGCUCAGCGCAAAAAGUCUACUGAGGAUCUAGGUGGAUAGAACAGGAGUGCAGAGCCAUAGGUGGACGCCAAGAUGCACUCCUUCCUCUGUCUGGCAAGCUCUGCUGACCCCUGAGGUCGUACCCACGCUUGCAGAGGUCCUAUGGGUUUGGUGUAGGUUGUGCCUUGUGCUCACUUGGCUUUCACCGGGUGCUGUUGCCUUAUAAUAUUUUUCCCAUUCUCUAUUUCCAAGCAGGAGGUCCCCUUGGCCUCCGUGUCUCGCUCUGGCCAGGCAGAUGUGGUGUGCCAACGGUACGUGGAGUCCAGACCCUGAGCAAAAGAACAGCUGAGGAGAGAGGCUGCCCUGGGUGAGACAGGAGAAGUGCCCCUUGAAGCGGGGGACGCUCCGCUGGCGCUGCCUCUCGCAUCCACCGGCAGCACGUUCCUUCUCUCUCCUUGGUGCCCGGCGCUUUGCCAUCUCCCAGGGCUCGCCAAGUCCAAAUAUUCCCUGAUGGAGUCCAUCUCCAGCUUGACCAACACUCACCCGGUCUGUCCCCGCACCAGCUGGCUAAAGGCUCCCCAGCAUUGCUGGCUGUCGGUGCCUUCUGUCACUCCCAGUCAGCAUGGCUCAGUUCUUUGCCUUUUGGGUUCCAGAGUGUUUGCUACAGGUAUGGAGUGUUUCUCUUCUCUCUCUUCUUGUCUUCCAUGUAGCCCGUUGUUGCCUUGGUGGAGUUUCAGUGACCCAAAUGCAGACUGCUCUGCGUUGACCAAGCACGAUGCCAAGAGAAGAGGCAGGCACCAGAACAGGCUGCUGGUGAAUGCUGUGCGUGCCUUGGGGUUCUUAGAAUGACUUGCGUUCCUCCCUAACCUGUGUUGUUCAGUACUACUAUUGAGGGUUUUAACUUUGAUUCUAGGAUAGGAGACUCUGCUGUCAGAUGGCGUUGCCUGUUCUUCUCUCCCCAGUUUGCAGAGUUGGAUGUGACCUCAGCAUUGGUUAAGGGGUAAGUGAUUCCUUCACCCUGACCAGAAGGUAAUCUCUACUUGUCUUGUGCUGUGUGGAACAGGUUGCAGUGGAGAAGUGCAGUUGUCCGGGGUGCUGCAAGGACUCUAUUGAGGCAUUUGGUGGACGCAGCAGGAACCCACAGCCAGAGAUGGACGCCAAGAUGCACUCCUUCCUCUGUCUGGCAAGCUCUGCUGACCCCUGAGGUCGUUCCCACGCUUGCAGAGGUCCUACGGGCUUGGUGUUGGUUGUCGCUUGUGCUCACCUUGCUGUCACCGGGUGUUCUUCCUUUACCCAUCUUUAGGGCUCCCCAGUUCUGAUGGGAUCUCCGUACCCUCUGCUGAUCCCAGAGAACAUGGGUUUGUUCUCUUAUCUUCAGAUUCAGAAUGUUUUCCUGCUGUUAUGCGAUGUCUGUCUUAGUUUUUAUUUUUUUUCUGGGCUGCCUAUUGAUACAUCCUCAGUCUGCAAUAAACCAAAUGAUUUCUGGUAAGGUUUGACCAAGUGAGAUGGAAAAUGAAGUGGUAAGCUCCAAAACAGGCUUGCAUAUUGGAGACUUAUCCACCACAUGGUGAUGCCUUUCCUGACCUCCUUGAUUGCAGUGUUGGAUGUGCCCUGAUCCUUGGAAAGGGGUGAGUGAUUCCUGCAUCCUUACUAGAAGGUAAUCUCUACUUACUUUUUCUUGUGUCCAACAGGUGGCACUGGAGAGUUGUGACCCUCCUAAGCAGUUCAAGGACUCUACUGAGGCUCUUGGUGGACUCAGCAGGAACCCACACCCAUAGGUGGGAUGCCAAUAUCUAUUCCUUCCUCUGUCUGGCAAGCUCUGGUGUCCCUUGAGGUUGUUCCCGUGCUUGUUGAGGUCCUAUGGACUUGUUGGUUUUCCCUUGUGCUCACUGGGCUUUCCAAGGGUGUUCCUCUUGCUUGACACCACCUUUCCCAUUCUCUAUUUCCAAGCAGGAGGUCCCCUUGGCCUCCGUGUCUCGCUCUGGCCAGGCAGAUGUGGUGUGCCAACGGAUCAAAGCCUUCAGAAUCCAACCAAAAGAAAUGGGGAGAGAGGCUGCCCUGGGUGAGACAGGAGAAGUGCCCCUUGAAGCAGGGGACGCCCCGCUGGCGCUGCCUCUCGCAUCCACCGGCAGCACGUUCCUUCUCUCUCCUUGGUGCCCGGCGCUUUGCCAUCUCCCAGGGCUCGCCAAGUCCAAAUAUUCCCUGAUGGAGUCCAUCUCCAGCUUGACCAGCACUCACCCGGUCUGUCCCCGCACCAGCUAGCUUAGGGCUCUCCAGUACUGCUGGAUGUCAGUGCCUUCUGUUCCUCCCUGUCAACAUAGUGGUGUUUUUUUUUUUUUUUUUAGGUUCAGUAACGUUUCUUGUUAUGCAGUGUUACUCUUCUCUGUUUUCUUGUGUUUCAUGUUGCCUGUCAAUGCCUCUUUGGAGAUACACUGAGUGAAAUGUAAACUGAUGUUCUUUGACCAAGUGUGAUGGAAAAUGAAGAUGUAGGCUCCACUCCAGCUAUCGUAUCCACUGUCUUAGUCGAAGCGGGAAGGACUAUUUUGACUAUUUGUCAACACCUACCUGGCAAUCUGAAUUUAGGAGCUGCUUUCACGGAUGCCUUGCUGCAGGGCAAAGAAGGCCUCAAAACUUCAGCAGACCUCUACCCCCAAGAGAGCUCUGAAACUUAUGUUAAGAAAAUAAUUUUCUUAAUAUUUUUCUGUCUUCUAUAGUUUUAACUGUUGCUUUAGCUUGGCCAGAAAAUAGGUAUGUAAAGCUAAUUGAAAAUCUUGCUGAAGGUUUUAGUGUUUCAGACUGUUGGGUUUGUAUGGCUCUCCCAAGAAGUGUAGGAAGUGUGCCAAUUUACACAGCAGUUGCACUAAAUUGAACAAUACUGAAUUAUGUAACAAAUCAGAUGGAAAACGGUGGAAAUUGUAACUGAGUGGAUGAAAAUCAGAGUAAGGUCAUUGAGUUGAUUUUGUCAUUAUUACUGAUACCUGGACCAUUUUUAUAGACAGGAAUGACAACAGUGCAAACCAUAUAAACUUUGGGUGCAGGAACCUGUCAGGUGUAGGGUGUUGUUGCAAAUAUGGUAAUUUUGGGAUGCUUAUGAGAUGUAAUGAGACUGCUCAAUGGCAUCAAGGCAGUUACCGUGAUCCUAGGGCCACUAGCAAUACAUUGUGGUUUGGAGAUAAAGAUAUAUUAGCUGUAGCGGGCAUGGGGACUGCAUCAAUGAAGCAUAGGCAAAAACUCUGUCAGCUCCCCUUUGCGUAUUGGUGGAUGUGUGGAAAUAGAUACGCAUGUAAAAUUCUCCCAUUGAAUUGGGCUGGGACAUGCAUAGCAGGUUAUCUGAUGCCUCACACAAGUAUCUACACUUGCAUAGAGCCACCAUGAGGAUUUUUAAGAGCUAUGCAGCUAUAGACUGAGAGAGAAUACUCCACUAGUUGAAAGGACUAUGGGAUUCCAUAGUUUUGUUUGAUGGAUACUUUCAGUUGUCAGAGUCACUGAACUGGAACAAGCAGUUGUGAAUGUAUCAGUCACUAUGGAAAGAAUUGAGAACCUAAGUUUAGAAGCCAUCCAGGGUCUUCAGACAGAGAUCUCACGCUGUAGUAAAUCAGUCUUGCAGAGUAGAAUGGCCCUUGACUUUCUUACCGCAAAGGCAUGAGGGGGGUCUGUAUGAUUAUUAACCGAAGUCACUGCACUUACAUGAACCGAAAUGUACACAUAGAGAGUGGUUUAUAGGCAAUUUGGAGAGGCAUUUAAGAGCCACACCAAGUCUCCUUACAUGACUCUUCUGCUGGAAUCGUGGAUAUGUGGAAUAAGCUUUGUAACUGGCUGCCUAACUUGUGUGGCUUAAGUGAUCAGUUGUAGUUGUACUGAUGAUCCUCAUUGUGAUAACCUGCAUAGGUGUGAGGUUCUUUCUGGUGCUGUUGAAAAAUGCUAGAUGAGCGCUCCACCUAGAAGAGGUACCGUGUGAAAUAUCAGGUAGAAAUGGGGAAAUAGUUCUGGAACACAUUACUUGACAGUUGGGCACCGAAAGCAAAAGCCUUUGCAUAACAUAUAGAAAAGGGUGGAUUGUAUCAAGGAAAGUGUAAAUCUGGACCUCAUAGUAUGUGCCAAGUUGGGAAGGAACACAGAAAGUAGUGGAACGUGAGGUUCGUGAGUACAAGGAAGAUAAGGACACAGAGCUGAUGACACAAUGGAAGGUUCAUUGAAGGUCAGCGGAGUUGCUCUUUGUGACUGAAUAUGCAGUCCCAUGAACAGAAGGAGGCACAGCUGCCCUUGCUGAGCAUAAGGAAGAGAAGUUGCUGUUGUGACACAAUGCAAGCCUGACCUUCUGAAGUUGGAAGCUCUCAGCAAGGUAUGCUGAUCACCUUCAUCCAACGCUGACCAGAGAACCACACUGCUUCUUUAGGACCAUGACAGUAGGGUGGGGCAAUGUGUUAAUGUCUUGGAAUUCCACCCAUCUUUCUUGCAAUGUAAUUGAUGUUUGUAUGUUAUGUUUUAAAAUAUGUAACCAUUGUUAUCCUGGCUCUGCGAGUUAGGAGAUUUCUCGUUGCAUCUUAUGUUGUAAUAAAAAUGCCUGUUGAGUGAGUGUGUCUAUGUUACGAUUUUGGCAUGAACACAGGGCUUAUACUUGGCAUUCUGCUAUUGAGCAUUUGUGAAUGAAGAAAGCUUUUAUAGAGGGUGACUUAGGAAGACACCUGGAUGAAGUUGAAGGCUGCUGGAUUGACCGUCACAAUGCUCAAAGAAUCGUAUGGACUAGAAGCGAACCUGGAAUAGAAGCCUGGAAAUCUUCAGUAUCCGUCUCGGAGAGCAUAGGGACCUGGAGGGACACGGGGGUCUGUCUGUGUUUAUCAUCUUGUGUGUUACUGCUGAGCGUGCAGUAUCUGUGGAACUAGCGUGGAGUCUGAAUUGUGUCAUCUUUGAAGCUGUUACGCUGGAAAUAUCCUCUGUGCUUUCUGGAAUUGCUAAUAAAGACUUCCUGCCUUAAUGCUAAC